rnacentral:misc_RNA from 1 species
GAUGAAGAACGCAGCAAAAUGCGAUAAGUAAUGUGAAUUGCAGAAUUCAGUGAAUCAUCGAAUCUUUGAACGCACAUUGCGCCCGCUGGUAUUCCGGCGGGCAUGCCUGUUCGAGCGUCAUUUCAACCCUCAAGCCCCCGGGUUUGGUGUUGGGGAUCGGCUCUGCCCUUCUGGGCGGUGCCGCCCCCGAAAUACAUUGGCGGUCUCGCUGCAGCCUCCAUUGCGUAGUAGCUAACACCUCGCAACUGGAACGCGGCGCGGCCAUGCCGUAAAACCCCAACUUCUGAAUGUUGACCUCGGAUCAGGUAGGAAUACCCGAUGAACUUAAGCAUAUCAAUAAGCGGAGGA